rnacentral:rRNA from 1 species
GAUGAACGCUGGCGGCGUGCCUAAUACAUGCAAGUCGAGCGAACAGACGAGGCGCUUGCUCCUCUGACGUUAGCGGCGGACGGGUGAGUAACACGUGGAUAACCUACCUAUAAGACUGGGAUAACUUCGGGAAACCGGAGCUAAUACCGGAUAAUAUAUUGAACCGCAUGGUUCAAUAGUGAAAGACGGUUUUGCUGUCACUUAUAGAUGGAUCCGCGCCGCAUUAGCUAGUUGGUAAGGUAACGGCUUACCAAGGCAACGAUGCGUAGCCGACCUGAGAGGGUGAUCGGCCACACUGGAACGGAGACACGGUCCAGACUCCUACGGGAGGCAGCGGUAGGGAAUCUUCCGCAAUGGGCGAAAGCCUGACGGAGCAACGCGGCGUGAGGGAUGAAGGUCUUGGGAUCGUAAAACUCUGUUAUUAGGGAAGAACAAAUGUGUAAGUAACUAUGCACGUCUUGACGGUACCUAAUCAGAAAGCCACGGCUAACUACGUG